GGGCCUGUAGCUCAGACGGAUCGAGAGCGCCUGUCUUCUAAACAGGUCGUCGCAGGUUCGAGUCCUGCCAGGCCCG
rnacentral:tRNA from 1 species